GUGGAAUGCGGCGUGCUAUACAUGCAAGUCGAACGAAACUUUCUUACACCGAAUGCUUGCAUUCACCGUAAGAAGUUGAGUGGCGGACGGGUGAGUAACACGUGGGUAACCUGCCUAAAAGAAGGGGAUAACACUUGGAAACAGGUGCUAAUACCGUAUAUCUCUAAGGAUCGCAUGAUCCUUAGAUGAAAGAUGGUUCUGCUAUCGCUUUUAGAUGGACCCGCGGCGUAUUAACUAGUUGGUGGGGUAACGGCCUACCAAGGUGAUGAUACGUAGCCGAACUGAGAGGUUGAUCGGCCACAUUGGGACUGAGACACGGCCCAAACUCCUACGGGAGGCAGCAGUAGGGAAUCUUCCACAAUGGACGCAAGUCUGAUGGAGCAACGCCGCGUGAGUGAAGAAGGUCUUCGGAUCGUAAAACUCUGUUGUUAAAGAACAGAACACGAGUGAGAGUAACUGUUCAUUCGAUGACGGUAUCUAACCAGCAAGUCACGGCUAACUACGUGCCAGCAGCCGCGGUAAUACGUAGGUGGCAAGCGUUGUCCGGAUUUAUUGGGCGUAAAGGGAACGCAGGCGGUCUUUUAAGUCUGAUGUGAAAGCCUUCGGCUUAACCGGAGUAGUGCAUUGGAAACUGGAAGACUUGAGUGCAGAAGAGGAGAGUGGAACUCCAUGUGUAGCGGUGAAAUGCGUAGAUAUAUGGAAGAACACCAGUGGCGAAAGCGGCUCUCUGGUCUGUAACUGACGCUGAGGUUCGAAAGCGUGGGUAGCAAACAGGAUUAGAUACCCUGGUAGUCCACGCCGUAAACGAUGAAUGCUAGGUGUUGGAGGGUUUCCGCCCUUCAGUGCCGCAGCUAACGCAAUAAGCAUUCCGCCUGGGGAGUCGACCGCAAGGUUGAAACUCAAAGGAAUUGACGGGGGCCCGCACAAGCGGUGGAGCAUGUGGUUUAAUUUGAAGCAACGCGAAGAACCUUACCAGGUCUUGACAUCCUUUGACCACCUAAGAGAUUAGGCUUUCCCUUCGGGGACAAAGUGACAGGUGGUGCAUGGCUGUCGUCAGCUCGUGUCGUGAGAUGUUGGGUUAAGUCCCGCAACGAGCGCAACCCUUGUUGUCAGUUGCCAGCAUUAAGUUGGGCACUCUGGCGAGACUGCCGGUGACAAACCGGAGGAAGGUGGGGACGACGUCAAGUCAUCAUGCCCCUUAUGACCUGGGCUACACACGCGCUACAAUGGACGGUACAACGAGUCGCGAGACCGCGAGGUUUAGCUAAUCUCUUAAAGCCGUUCUCAGUUCGGAUUGUAGGCUGCAACUCGCCUACAUGAAGUCGGAAUCGCUAGUAAUCGCGAAUCAGCAUGUCGCGGUGAAUACGUUCCCGGGCCUUGUACACACCGCCCGUCACACCAUGAGAGUUUGUAACACCCAAAGCCGGUGGGGUAACCGCAAGGAGCCAGCCGUCUAAGGUGGGACAGAUGAUUGGGGUGAAGUCGUAACAAGAGCUAGCCCC
rnacentral:rRNA from 2 species